rnacentral:lncRNA from 1 species
CAUUUCAUUGACAAGUCCUGCGGCGCAGCCAGUGUCAGGGGAGGUGAUGUGCUUGGGGCAGGCAGGAGCAGACUGCUUGUGAAGAGCCCUAGGAACUGCCGCAUGCAGCUAAAGAUUCAUUCUCAGGCAAUAGGAAACUAUUGGAGUAUCUCAGGCAGUGAUAGGCGUGAUUUGGUUCAGGUUUUCACAAGAUACUCAGCAUGCGGAGUGGCGGCUACGGGGAAAAUAUGACGGUGGUGGAGGCCAGGAGGCAGGGAGGCUGCUGGAAGUGAAAGGACUCAAGAUGGUGAGCACAGAAGUCAGAGGAUAUGGUCAAUCUACUCAACCAGAGAACAGAACAAUGACAGUGCUGGAGGGAAAUGCAUACUGGGGAAAGGCGACCUAAAUAAUUUUGACAGCUGGUUGAAAAUGUGGAGAUCCAGAAUAUCCAAGGUUUUAACUCUUUCAAAAGGAAGAGUUGGAGCAAGAAAGAGUGACUCAGACCGGAAACCUUGCCAGUGGGGUGAGAUGUGUGGGGUCUGUGCCUUGUACACUAAUGCAAGUGCAGCAGUCAGCUCAGAGCGCAGCCAUUAAGGACUAUGAUGUGUGUUGGGCACUGUGCGACCCUAAAGGUGUCAUUUAUGUUGGCAAUUGUGUUAGUGGUGCUCCUACUCUAUACUCCGAAGAACCAUUCACAGUGGCCUACACCUAGAGACAGUGUGUUCUGGAUCAGACUGACACUCAAGCUGUCCUGAUUUUAUAAGCAGAACUGGGAGCUGGAAUAACCCAAGUCAGUGUUUUCUAAGAUAUAGUUUAUGGAUGAUUCAUAGUUAUUCUUUUGGACUGUAUGUUCUUGGAGGGCAGGACUUGUUUGUUUUGUCCUCUAUCGUUUCCCCUGUGAAAGCUGGAUGUUUGGCACAUAAUAAGAAAUCAAUAAUUACGUUUUGAGAUAAUGAGCUAAGUGCUAUCAAAUAGGUUUGAGAAACGUUACCUUAAACAAGCUUCCUAGUCCAGGACUCCUUAUGGACUUUGAUACACAAAUGUAAGGAGUGAAUCUGUGAGAAGAGGAAUACAGGAGACAAUGUUCUCUAACCUAGCUCAACACCUUAGUCACUGAGUGCUCACAGGCAUGUUGUUAAUCUACUGGGUCCAUCAUGGAAAUGUAUUUCUUGUUGAUCAUGGUCAAGAAAACUUAAAAUUCCCAUUUGUGGAAAGAAAGUCCAUGAGUUUUUGUUGCUGAAUUUCUAGAGCUUCCUUGUCUCUUGCUCUUUGGACACCUGGCUAUUUGACCCCUACUUCAUUCUGUAAGCUCUCUAGUAUCCUUUCACUGUACCCCCCUGUCUUGCUUCAAUUAAUCUUACUUUGUUGCAACUGUGUCGAUUACACUUCUCCAUGUAAGUGAUUCCAUGCUUCUAUCUGGUCCUCCAUUUGUCAGGAAUCUUUUAACUGCUGGUCACAGAAACCACUCAAACCAGCUUGGGUACAAAAAGACAAUUUACUGGUUUUGUAAUUAAAAAGUCUGUCAUUUCCUGAAGCUAAAUCAUCACAUUUCUGGUUCUUGUUUCAUCUCUCUGACAUCUAUCUUCGCAUGGAA